rnacentral:rRNA from 1 species
UACCAGCACCCCGAGUGGUCGGGACGUUUAUUCGGGCCUAAAGCAUCCGUAGCCGGUUCUACGAGUCUUCCGUUAAAUCCAACUGCUUAACAGGUGGGCUGCGGAAGAUACUAUAGAGCUAGGAGGCGGGAGAGGCAAGCGGUACUCGAUGGGUAGGGGUAAAAUCCGUUGAUCCAUUGAAGACCACCAGUGGCGAAGGCGGCUUGCCAGAACGCGCUCGACGGUGAGGGAUGAAAGCUGGGGGAGCAAACCGG